rnacentral:rRNA from 1 species
ACGGGUGAGUAAUGUCUGGGAAACUGCCCGAUGGAGGGGGAUAACUACUGGAAACGGUAGCUAAUACCGCAUAACGUCUACGGACCAAAGUGGGGGACCUUCGGGCCUCACACCAUCGGAUGUGCCCAGAUGGGAUUAGCUAGUAGGUGGGGUAAUGGCUCACCUAGGCGACGAUCCCUAGCUGGUCUGAGAGGAUGACCAGCCACACUGGAACUGAGACACGGUCCAGACUCCUACGGGAGGCAGCAGUGGGGAAUAUUGCACAAUGGGCGCAAGCCUGAUGCAGCCAUGCCGCGUGUAUGAAGAAGGCCUUCGGGUUGUAAAGUACUUUCAGUGGGGAGGAAGGCGAUGGAGUUAAUAGCUUCGUCGAUUGACGUUACCCGCAGAAGAAGCACCGGCUAACUCCGUGCCAGCAGCCGCGGUAAUACGGAGGGUGCAAGCGUUAAUCGGAAUUACUGGGCGUAAAGCGCACGCAGGCGGUCUGUCAAGUCGGAUGUGAAAUCCCCGGGCUCAACCUGGGAACUGCAUUCGAAACUGGCAGACUAGAGUCUUGUAGAGGGGGGUAGAAUUCCAGGU